rnacentral:lncRNA from 1 species
CUCCGGACACGAAUUCCUCUUCCGCGGGAUCCAUCGAUGGGGCACCCUCCUUUGUCGCCGCUUGCGGGGAACGGUCCCCAACUCCGGCUACCGAGCGCUGCGGAGGACCUGAUCGAGCGGAUCUGCCGGGAGAAGUCGCUACUCCCACCGGACCCCGUAGCGAGGAAGGCCCUCGCCGGCCUAGGGGAGGCCGCUGCCUUGGACGUCGUGCGGAAGGUGUCCUCCCGCAGAACCAAGAAUUUGUCUGCGCCGAUCAUGUACAUGGCUAGCCGACCGGACGCCGCCCAGGCCUCCACCCAUGCGAGCGCCUGCUUUCCCCAUUCCCCGUCCUCUGGCCCUAACUCGGUUGCAGGUGGGAAACUACGUUUUCUUGCUUUAGUUUAAACAAAAAAAUUCCUUUUUUCGUUAGAAAAGAUAGAGCUUGUUUGUCUUUCACAAACUGGGCUUCGGGGUCUUCGUUGAACUAUCGACUACCGUUUCGCUUUUGCUUCCGUAGCAGAAGAACCACAUUCGUGCACGCCAAGAUUUGAGGGGAGUUUGCCAUCGGGGCAGAUGGCAAGUCCGCAGCUCGUGGCUUUGGGCAGGCUCGAAUGAAGACUAGGGAGUGUAUCAUAUAUCUUUUGUCUUGCCUGGGCCCUUUGUGCAAGGGAGCACAAGCGAAGCGAUCUAUUAAUAGAAGAAAGCAUUAUAGAUGAUACGUCCUUCCCGAUAGAAGUUAAGAUUUUUUCGAGAAAAAUCUUCUAUUCUAUUGAGUAAAAUCAUCCCUCCUAAUCCUAUAAAUAAAUAAGAGAUAAAUAUGUUAAUGUAUUCAAGUUACUUCAUCUCACCUUUUCAAAAAAGCUUCUUCCUUUAUUGUUCUUAUCUUUUAUUAUUUCAUCUUUUUCAAUAAAACUUCUUCCCUUAUUGUUCUUAUCUUCUAUUAUUUCUAUCAUGAGAAAAAUCUCACUUGUAAAUCAUUUCUUGUAUCGAUCCAAAAUUGGUAUCCUUGUCAAGAGCACCAUCUUGCCCCCAAAUCCUUUAUUCUGUUGAGGAAAAUCCUUCCUCCUAAUCCUAUAAAUAGGAGAUGAACAUGUUAAUGUAUUCAAACUAAGCUACUUCACCUUUUCAAUAAAGCUUCUUCCAUUAUUGUUCUUAUCUUUUAUUAUUUCAGUUGAUACAUUACCUGAUCUGAAAUUAUCGAUUCACGUUUUGUUAUUAAGUCAUGUUGAACUUUCCUCAUCAUUAACCCUUCUUCACAAGGAAAAAAAGGGAGCUUACUGGCUGAUUAGCUUACUGUACGCAAUUUACAACUAACUGUGUGGACAAUGUCAAUCAUUAAGGUACAGACAUGCACAGACGAAUUUUACGACUUAUGUGCUAGAAAGUGUUGCUGCACGAUGAGUGAUUGUGUUUGGAGAAAUAGUAAAGUUGAUGAUUCCUUACUCGUAAAGGAAUCUUCAUUUUCUUCGUCAUAGCAGGUGGGAAGAUAACAUUCUGUCACAUACUUGUUUUCAUCAUGCAAUGUAUGUCUGAGGAUACAUAGAUGAACAAUUUGUAAAUGGUAGGUCAUUGAGGACCUGAAGCCCCUAUAGCUGGUUGCAUUGUGUUGGUUACAAUUUUUAGUUCGUUCAGGAUGGGAGUGGCACUUAGCAAGUUGAAUGCAUCUGAAACAAUUUUGGCUUAAUUAGCUAAAGAAUUCGUAAAGAAGAAUUCCUAAAGAAUUUUGAGGAGAUGUUAUUGCUUGUGCAGUAACAUUUUUUUUUUGACAAAGAGAAUUGGUAAUAUUAUACUAAAAGAAGUAUGAAGCUUACAUAAAACAAGAGUUAAAUCAUUUGAGAAUUUUGCAGAAGUGUUAUAUUAGCUAAGAUACCAAAAAAAAGAGAACAAAACUUAAGAAUAAAAAUUAAAAAUGCAUCUUGUUAGGUUAUGCUAAGAAUUCUAGUGGUUACAAACUUUAUAAUCAUAUCGCAAACAAAAUUGUGAUGCUAAGAGAUGUUGAGUUUGAGGAAUAAUGGAUUUGAAAUAGGAAAAGUGAUGAGCAACAUAAGAAAACUAUAUAUUUAGAAGAGGAUGCUAUAAUACAAACAAGCACCGAAAAGUCUUUAUUUGAAUCAUCACCUAGAUUGGCUAGGUCACAUGAUUCAAGAAGUCCGAUUUUAAGGAUAAAAAUAAUUCAGGAGCUAUAUGAUGUUACUUGAAUGGUCGAUACUAACAAUGAUGAGCUUUCUUUUUUUUAUCUUUUUAUACGAUAUAAUCCAUCAACCUUCAAAUAAGUUUGUAGAGAAAAAAAAGUGACAAACUAUGAAGAAGAAGAUUUGUGCUAUUAACAAAAAUAAUACAUGGGAGCUUACUACACUUCUAGAAGAUCACUAAACAAUUGGUGUAAAAUAGAUUUUCAAAACAAAAAGAAAUGCACGAGAAGAGGUGUAGAAAUACAAAGCAUGAUUGGUUACGGAGGAUUACAAAUAAGAAUAUGGGAUUGACUAUGAAGAAGUAUUUGAACCAAUUAUUCGAUUGGAGACAAUGAGAUUAUUUAUUUCCUUAGCAGCUCAAAUGAAAUAAAAAAUUUUAUAAAUGGAUGUGAAAUCAAUAUUUUUCUUAAUGGAGCUUUUGAAGAAGAGAUAUAUAUUCAAUAAUCCGUGAUUUUAAUAUUCAUGAAUAACAAGAUAAGGUAUACAAGUUAAAAAGUGCUUUAUGGGCUUAAACAAGCUCCAUGAGCAUGGAAUUCUUGGUUAUAUACUUAUUUUAUUCAAAAUAAAUUUUCUAAAUAUCAAUAUGAACAUGCUUUCUAUAUGAAAUUUAACUCUGAUAAAGAUAUCUUAUUUAUAUGCAUGUUUGUAGAUGAUUUAAUUUUUUAUAAGUAAUAAUAUCUUCAUAAUUAAAGACUUUAAACACUUUAUGAAGAAAGAGUUUGAGAUGACCACUUUGGGCCUAAUAACUUAUUUUAUCGGUAUUGAAGUUGUACAAGAUAAUGAAAGAAUUUUUAUCUCAUAAGAAAAUUAUACAAAGGAGGUUCUAAAGAAUUUUUUCAUGAAAGAUUGUCACUCUACAAAUAUACUUGUGGAAUAUGGCACCAAGUUAAACAAGGAAGGUGAAGGUAAAUAUAUUAAUCUAACUUAUUAUAAAAAUUUAGUUGGAUGUUUAAGAUAUUUGACAUGCACUCGACCUGAUAUAUUAUUUAGAGUUGGUUUAAUAAGUAGAUACAUAGAAGCUCCUAAGAUAUCUCAUUUAAAUAUUAUCAAAAGAAUUUUACUAUAUAUUAAAGGGAUAAUUGAGUAUGAAAUAUUCUAUUCAUCAUCUAAAAGGUUAGAGCUUAUUUGAUAUAAUGAUAGUGAUUACGUCGAAAGUUACGAUAAUCGAAAGAGUACAAUUGGAUUUAUAUUUUAUUUUAGUAAAACUACAUUCACGUGGUCUUAAAAAAAAUAACAUAUUAAGCAGAAUAUAUAGUAGUAUCUUCUUGUGUUUGUCAUGCAAUAUAGUUAAGAAGAUUAUUUCAAGAACUUCAUAUACCACAGGAUAAGUCAACCAAGAUUUAUGUUAGUAAUAAAUCAGUUAUUGCCUUAGCCAAGAAUCCAGUCUAUCAUGAAAGAUCAAAGCACAACAAUAUAAGAUUUUAUUUUAUAAGAGAUCAUGUCAAAAAUAAAAAAAUAAAGCUAGUUUAUAUCAAGACAAAUUAAUAAGUGAUUAAUAUAUUUAUACAAUCUCUAAUUUGAAAUAUCUUAACAACUUUGAAAGAAACUUUAUAUGUUAGAUGGAAUAAGUUCAAGGGAGGUGAAUGUUAAAUUUUAACUUAUUAAAGUAUCAUAAAAAGGUUCAGUGUAUUAAGAGAAAUAGGUUCAUUGCAUCAAGAGGAAAAAUAAAUUAACAUUACGUCACUGGCCAUAUCGUCAAGUUGGACCUCGAGAGCACAAAUACAAAUGAUUGGGCAUUACGCGAUGAGAGGAUGAACUCAUCAUUACUUGCUUUAUCUCACCUGAAGCACUUGGAUCUUAGCUCCAAUGAUUUCAGAGGAAUCUGGAUCCUGGGAUUCAUUGGCUCCUUCAAGAAACUAAGAUAACCUGAUCUAUCUCGCACAUAUUUCAUGGGAGGAAUACCUACUCGGGUGGGGAACCUUUCAAAAGCCUCUACGUUCUUAAUCUAAGAGUUGCUUUAUGUCUUUGCACCCCCUUCUUCACAACCCCGAUUGUCUCUCUCAUCUUACCUCCUUGAAGCUCAGCCAGUUAGAUCUAACCAUUGUCCCUCCAAGUGUUAAGUAUGUCUUUCGUUGGUCUCAAUAGCAUCCCAGCUUCUAUCGUCCAUGUCAUCUUUACCACCUCUUUUACCGUCUUAUCCAAAUGGUUGGAGAAUAUUAGUAGUCUUACCUAUCUUGAUAUUUUUAAUUCCGAGUUCUAUGGCAUUAUUCUUUCUACAAUUAGAGACUUAGACUCAUUUUUCUUGAUCUAGGAGGUAAUCGACUUGAGGGUAUUGUACUGAGAUCCAUUAUUGAUCUCCAUACACUAAAAGGGAAGAAAACAAGGAUAAUGUAGAUAGGUUGUUCUCAAUCAUGCAGUGUUCUCAUCUCAGGUUAGAUCAGAUCUACAGUAGAUUCUUGUUGUGAUUACUUGGGGAGAAUUUGGAUAUUGUGCACAGUGACGUGAUCUUUGUAUCCCAGUUAUUUUAUUGUGAUUGUUGCUAUGAUUUUAUGCGAGAGAUUGAGAUUUGUAUAUUCAUUAUUUUUAUAGUGAAUUAUCUCUAGUUUACCUUAUGAUUUUUACCCUUCACAUUGGAGGGGUUUUUCACGUAAAUCAUAGUGUUUUAUUUGAUUGUGAUUCCAUUUAAUUUUGUUACGUGUUACGGCUUGCUGUUAUUUAUUAUUAUAUAAAAAUUUAUUUCUCUUUAUAUCCCACCGUGGCUCCCUCACCCCUUCCCUCUCCUUCUCUGUCGCCUGAGGUCGUUAGUAUUUGUCAACCAUCAUCGAUCGAUCUUGCACUACCACCUUUUGCUCGUAACACCCUUCCCUCUAUCUCUCGCCUGGUGUAGCUACCAGAAGAGGAGAGGAGAAGAAGAAAGAAAAAAAAAAAGAGAAAUAAACAAAUUUUAUUAGAAUUAAAUUAUAAAUUAUAUGUAUAUAUAUAUUAAUUCAUAAAAAAUUAAUUUAAAAAAAUAUUUUAAGUGAUCGUAAAUAUUAAUCUCUAUUAUUAUUAUUAUUAUUAUUAUUAAAAUAAACUUCCUCCUUCCGUACGUCUGCUUUCAACGCAGCUGUCCAAAGCGACAAACCAGUUUCGUGCGGAAAGAAAAGAUUAGGAUGCUCUCCAAGUACCAUAGCAUCCGUCUACCAUGAAGCGAAUGCCAUCCAACGGUUGAUGCGUAGGACUUGCAUCCGUGGAGAAUCGAGAUGUGAGAGUGUAAGAGAACAAAUAUACUAGCUUUGGAAGUGGAUCUCUCACGUUUAUUUUUUCGAAAAGGCCGUUGUGCGCUCGGUUCUGCUGCCGCUGCUGCUUCCUUCCUAAGGAAGGAAUAGCAUCGUCGAAGCAUCCCCCCUCCGGACACGAAUUCCUCUUCCGCGGGAUCCAUCGAUGGGGCACCCUCCUUUGUCGCUGCUUGCGGGGAACGGUCCCCAACUCCGGCUACCGAGCGCUGCGGAGGACCUGAUCGAGCGGAUCUGCCGGGAGAAGUCGCUACUCCCACCGGACCCCGUAGCGAGGAAGGCCCUCGCCGGCCUAGGGGAGGCCGCUGCCUUGGACAUCCUGCGGAAGGUGUCCUCCCGCAGAAUCAAGAAUUUGUCCGCGCUGAUCAU